UACGGGGGGGGCAAGCGUUGUUCGGAAUUACUGGGCGUAAAGGGCUCGUAGGCGGCCAACUAAGUCAGACGUGAAAUCCCCGGGCUCAACCCGGGAACUGCGUCCGAUACUGGCAGGCUUGAAUUCGGGAGAGGGAUGCGGAAUUCCAGGUGUAGCGGUGAAAUGCGUAGAUAUCUGGAGGAACACCGGUGGCGAAGGCGGCAUCCUGGACCGAAAUUGACGCUGAGGCGCGAAAGCCAGGGGAGCAAACGGG
rnacentral:rRNA from 1 species